AUUGAACGCUGGCGGCAUGCUUUACACAUGCAAGUCGAACGGUAACAGGCCUUCGGGUGCUGACGAGUGGCGAACGGGUGCGUAAUGCAUCCGAAUGUGCCCAGAGGCUGGGGAUAACGCAGCGAAAGCUGUGCUAAUACCUCAUGUGAUCUGAGGAUUAAAGCGGGGGACCAAGCAGCAAUGUUUGGCCUCGCGCCUCUGGAGCGGCCGAUGUCAGAUUAGCUAGUUGGUGGGGUAAAGGCCUACCAAGCCGACGAUCUGUAGCUGGUCUGAGAGGACGACCAGCCACACUGGGACUGAGACACGGCCCAGACUCCUACGGGAGGCAGCAGUGGGGAAUCUUGGGCAAUGGGCGCAAGCCUGAUCCAGCAAUGCCGCGUGAGUGAAGAAGGUCUUCGGGUUGUAAACCGCUUUUGUACGGAACGAAAAGGCUCUGGCUAAUACAUGGGGCUGAUGACGGUACCGUAAGAAUAAGCACCGGCUAACUACGUG
rnacentral:rRNA from 1 species